UGAGGAAUUUUGGACAAUGGGCGCAAGCCUGAUCCAGCCAUGCCGCGUGUGUGAAGAAGGUCUUCGGAUUGUAAAGCACUUUAAGUUGGGAGGAAGAGCAGUUACCUAAUACGUGAUUGUUUUGACGUUACCGACAGAAUAAGCACCGGCUAACUCUGUGCCAGCAGCCGCGGUAAUACAGAGGGUGCAAGCGUUAAUCGGAAUUACUGGGCGUAAAGCGUGCGCAGGCGGUCUUGCAAGACAGUGGUGAAAUCCCCGGGCUCAACCUGGGAACUGCCAUUGUGACUGCAAGGCUGGAGUACGGCAGAGGGGGAUGGAAUUCCGCGUGUAGCAGUGAAAUGCGUAGAUAUAGGAAGGAACACCAGUGGCGAAGGCGACCACCUGGACUGAUACUGACACUGAGGUGCGAAAGCGUGGGAAGCAAACAGGAU
rnacentral:rRNA from 1 species